rnacentral:rRNA from 1 species
AACGAACGCUGGCAGCAGGCCUAAUACAUGCAAGUCGAACGCCCCGCAAGGGGAGUGGCGCACGGGUGAGUAACGCGUGGGAAUGUGCCCUUAGGUGCGGAACAACGUUUGGAAACGAACGCUAAUACCGCAUAAUAUCGCCGGAUCAAAGAUUUAUCGCCUAGGGAUCAGCCCGCGUUGGAUUAGCUAGUUGGUGGGGUAACGGCCUACCAAGGCGACGAUCCAUAGCUGGUCUGAGAGGAUGAUCAGCCACACUGGGACUGAGACACGGCCCAGACUCCUACGGGAGGCAGCAGUAAGGAAUAUUGGACAAUGGGGGCAACCCUGAUCCAGCCAUGCCGCGUGAGUGAUGAAGGCCUUCGGGUUGUAAAGCUCUUUUAGGUGUGACGAUGAUGACGGUAACACCAGAAAAAGCUCCGGCUAACUUCGUGCCAGCAGCCGCCGUAAAAC